AUGCACGCUGGCGGCGUGCCUAAUCCAUGCAAGUCGAGCGAACAGAUAAGGAGCUUGCUCCUUUGACGUUAGCGGCGGACGGGUGAGUAACACGUGGAUAACCUACCUAUAAGACUGGGAUAACUUCGGGAAACCGGAGCUAAUACCGGAUAACAUAUUGAACCGCAUGGUUCAAUAGUGAAAGGCGGCUUUGCUGUCACUUAUAGAUGGAUCCGCGCCGUAUUAGCUAGUUGGUAAGGUAACGGCUUACCAAGGCAACGAUACGUAGCCGACCUGAGAGGGUGAUCGGCCACACUGGAACUGAGUCACGGUCCAGACUCCUACGGGAGGCAGCAGUAGGGAAUCUUCCGCAAUGGGCGAAAGCCUGACGGAGCAACGCCGCGUGAGUGAUGAAGGUCUUCGGAUCGUAAAACUCUGUUAUCAGGGAAGAACAAAUGUGUAAGUAACUGUGCACAUCUUGACGGUACCUGAUCAGAAAGCCACGGCUAACUACGUG
rnacentral:rRNA from 1 species